UGCAAGUCGAGCGGUAAGGCCUAUCGGGGUACACGAGCGGCGAACGGGUGAGUAACACGUGGGUGAUCUGCCCUGCACUUCGGGAUAAGCCUGGGAAACUGGGUCUAAUACCGGAUAUGACCUCCUAUCGCAUGGUGGGUGGUGGAAAGAUUUAUCGGUGCAGGAUGGGCCCGCGGCCUAUCAGCUUGUUGGUGGGGUAAUGGCCUACCAAGGCGACGACGGGUAGCCGACCUGAGAGGGUGACCGGCCACACUGGGACUGAGACACGGCCCAGACUCCUACGGGAGGCAGCAGUGGGGAAUAUUGCACAAUGGGCGAAAGCCUGAUGCAGCGACGCCGCGUGAGGGAUGACGGCCUUCGGGUUGUAAACCUCUUUCAGCAGGGACGAAGCGCAAGUGACGGUACCUGCAGAAGAAGCACCGGCUAACUACGUGCCAGCAGCCGCGGUAAUACGUAGGGUGCAAGCGUUGUCCGGAAUUACUGGGCGUAAAGAGUUCGUAGGCGGUUUGUCGCGUCGUUUGUGAAAACCAGCAGCUCAACUGCUGGCUUGCAGGCGAUACGGGCAGACUUGAGUACUGCAGGGGAGACUGGAAUUCCUGGUGUAGCGGUGAAAUGCGCAGAUAUCAGGAGGAACACCGGUGGCGAAGGCGGGUCUCUGGGCAGUAACUGACGCUGAGGAACGAAAGCGUGGGUAGCGAACAGGAUUAGAUACCCUGGUAGUCCACGCCGUAAACGGUGGGCGCUAGGUGUGGGUUCCUUCCACGGAAUCCGUGCCGUAGCUAAAGCAUUAAGCGCCCCG
rnacentral:rRNA from 1 species